rnacentral:misc_RNA from 1 species
UCUCCGUAGGUGAACCUGCGGAGGGAUCAUUACAGAGUCCAUGCCCUCACGGGUAGAUCUCCCACCCUGUGUUAUUAUACUUUGUUGCUUUGGCAGGCCGCCCGCGUGGGCUACCGGCUCCAGCUGGUAAGUGCCUGCCAGAGGACCCCAAACUCUGAAUAUUUUAUUGUCUGAGUACUAUAUAAUAGUUUAAAACUUUCAACAACGGAUCUCUUGGUUCUG